UGCUUGCUGUACCGGUACAGCCAUCACCUUGUACCGGUACAAGCUGGCAGAUUCGUGGCAGCUUGGGUAUUUUGGUAAUUUCACAUUGGAUACCUACCUAUUUGAUCCCAGCACGGCUCUGGGACUUCAGUGGAGUAUGCAAGAGUUCUGGGAAAGCUUCUCUUCCCUUCUUCUCUCUCUCUCUCUAGGGUUUUUCUCUCUCUACGUCGAGUUCGCCGAUUUCGCUCGUUUUCGUCGCCGCGUGCGUUCUUCGCUAUUUGUGAGCGUUGCAGCACCUUUGUGCACGUGUGAGGGAGUGUUUUGGAAGGCUCUUUGCUGUCCUGAACCAGUAGGGUGCUGGUUGGAGGCUUGAGAAGCAGGUCUUCAAGCUUCGUUGAGCUGAAUUUGUACCCUUAGAAGCUGGUUUGGAAGAUAUUCUAACCUGAGCGAGAGUGCGAACGAGCUUUGGAUCGUCGUGAGCUGACUUGUGAGAGCUCUUGGAGGCGUCUCUUGAGCAUUGGGGCUUCGUUGAGCCGUUGUGGGACUUCUUGUGGAUAAUCGGAGCCUAGUACUAGAGCCUGUUACAGGAGAGGCUAGGGAUCGUGGCAAGGGAGU